CCCGGUCCCUCUUUGGAAACCUUCAGCUCCGUCUCCGCCCGACUCCAGUCACCCCUCAGGGUCGUCCCGAGGCGGCGGGGAGUCGGGCCCGAGGAGGACAGGACGCCCAGCCCGCCGCCCGGCUCCCGGGAAGAAAGGAGGGACCCACGUCCUCGGGGACGCCCGCUCCGUGCCGGCUGCAGCCAUUUUCCAAACCCUGCUCGGCAGCCGAGAGUCUCGCGGAGCCCGGGGACCGAGAAGCGUGGUCUGGAGAGCUCACAGAACCCGAGGCUGUCACCAGUAAAAUGCGGUGUGACAGACUCGAGAGACGUCGCCCAGCCCUCCGCCCGGAGCUGCCUGCUGCAGCGGAGAUAAUGCGGUCUCGCAGACGGGCUUUUGUUCCUCCCCAAACGACUUCCCGCCCUGAUGGUCAAUUCCUAGAAGACAGCAUGCUUGUCUAAAAGUUUUUCUAAAUUAUGUGUAUAUGCAUACAUGUAUUUUUAAAUCGACAGCACUCCCCUCGUUUUCCAUGCUAUCAUCUUUCUAAAAAGGUGUUUAAAGACCUUAAAGCUCAC
rnacentral:lncRNA from 1 species